rnacentral:miRNA from 1 species
UAUUAGGUUGGUAUAAAAGUAAUUGUGGUUUUUGGCAAUAAAAAUGGCAAAAACCACAAUUACUUUUGCUCCAACCUAAUACA